rnacentral:misc_RNA from 1 species
CGCACAUUGCGCCCUUUGGUAUUCCGAAGGGCAUGCCCGUUCGAGCGUCAUUUCACCAAUCAAGCCUGGCUUGGUGUUGGGCCCCGGGGAGACCCGGGCCCCAAAGUUCGCCGGCAGGACGACCCCAGAUCUCAGCGUUGUGGCAUCAAAACCCGCGGAGUGAGGGGCGGCCGCGCCGUCACAAAAGACAUUUUUAUGAAAGGUUGACCUCGGAUCGGGUAGGGAUACCCGCUGAACUUAA